UACUUAUCCAGAAAGACAGAGGGAAAGGCCCUAUGAUGUCUUAGCAACCUGUACCGGCUUCACGCCUGGUGUAAGGUGCUAAUUCCUGCUUCGCUAAACGGAGACAGAUAAGCU
rnacentral:ncRNA from 2 species